GGGGCAGAACUUCCGGGGUAACGCAGCGACCGCGGCAGCGCAGCAGCCUCAGGGAGCAGUACUUCCGUUGUCCAGCGCGCCUGCGCUGGUCUCUAACACCUUCUCGGCCUCCCCGUUAUCCGUAGGCCCGUUCUCCUACACUACUUUUGCUGCCUCCUCCCCCAACUUCUGGCCUCCGCCGAGGAGAGCCGCUAGAGCGUAGGGGAAGUGCUGUGCCCCCCUACCCCCAGGGGCCCUAAGAGAGGUUAGCGUACGGUUUCCCUUGGCUGUGCUGGGCCAAGUGCUGGGAGGGAGGCCGGUAAAAAGGAAUCUGAUCUCCCGGAGUCCCAUGGUUGAAGGCGCGGCCUCCUCCGGAAGAAAAUGAGUGUGACCGCCUCCCUUCGAGUAGGGCCCCUCUCCUGUUGGCCUGAAAAGGCCGGAGUUCCCCCAAUCCAGACUUAAGGCUCUUAGGACUCAUCAAUAUUCAAUCCUCACACAGAAGACAAUGAAUCCUGGGCCCUUUUCUUCUGCACUCUCUUGGAGAGCCCAUCAGCUUUAGUGAGUCAAAUAAAACAAGGCACUAAGCAGUUAGAACUGGGUCUUCAACCAAGAAUCACCUAUACAUCAAAACUUACUAUAUACCUCCAGGGGAAAGUAUGGACAUUCAAAAAAAAUGGAAGAUUUCCAAGUAUUUCUAAAGAAAAGACCAGAACUCAGUGGAAAGUUUGAUAUCCAAACACAACGAACAAGAGAAACAUGAAAAGUAUUUGAAUGAUGAAAAUGGACCAAGAGAGGGAAAAACAACUGGAUUCACAAAACCACUGAAUUUCAACAUUGGAAGGGAGGUCAGAAGUUAUAUUGAGGCUAGGAGGAACCUUUGUCGUACAGUCAUGUCCAACUCUUCAUGACGAUAUUUGGAGUCUGUCCAUCCUUCCUUCCAUUCUUGUUCCUUCUUUCUUAGUAUCAAUCCUAAAACAGAAGAACAGCAAGACCUAAGUAUAUUGAGCAUAAGUGACCUGACCAAGGUCAGGAAGUGUCUGAGGUCAGAUUUACAACAAUGUCUUCCCUGUUCUAGCCUUGUGCUCUAUCCAUUGUAUUACCUUGCUGCUCCUUGAUUCUCUAGCUUUUAAAAACUGCAUAUUUAAUUAUUUCUACUUUUCAGAUAUAAAUUUUUUACUGAUAAUCAGCUCUAUUUCAUUCUUCAAAUUAUAGUAUAUUGUCUUAUCAUUAUUCUCUCAUGUAGUUAUUAAAUGAAUCUAUGACUUGUUAUUUGAUGUAUUCAUUAUUCAAGGUGUCAUGAAAUCUAUUUCUGUCUAUAUCUUUUGAUUGCAUUCCUUAUAUUAACUACUGUUUUAUUAUGGUCUAUAAGGGAUAUUUAAUAUUUAUAUCCUUUUAAAUAUAUUUAUAAUAUAUCUAUAUUCUAACACAUGAUCUGUUUUUGUAAAGAUACUACAUAAUACUC
rnacentral:lncRNA from 1 species